rnacentral:rRNA from 1 species
CGAAAGUUAGGAGGUUCGAAGGCGAUCAGAUACCGCCCUAGUUCUAACCAUAAACGAUGCCAACCAGCGAUCCGCCUGAGUUCCUCAAAUGACUCGGCGGGCAGCUUCCGGGAAACCAAAGUGUUUGGGUUCCGGGGGAAGUAUGGUUGCAAAGCUGAAACUUAAAGGAAUUGACGGAAGGGCACCACCAGGAGUGGAGCCUGCGGCUUAAUUUGACUCAACACGGGAAAACUUACCCGGCCCGGACACUGGAAGGAUUGACAGAUUAAGAGCUCUUUCUUGAUUCAGUGGGUGGUGGUGCAUGGCCGUUCUUAGUUGGUGGAGCGAUUUGUCUGGUUAAUUCCGAUAACGAGCGAGACUCUAGCCUACUAAAUAGGCGUUCCGAUCAUCUCAGUCGGACGUUCUUCUUAGAGGGACAAGCGGCUUUUAGCCGCACGAGACAGAGCAAUAACAGGUCUGUGAUGCCCUUAGAUGUCCGGGGCCGCACGCGCGCUACACUGAAGGAAUCAGCGUGUGCUUUCCCUGUCUGGUAGGACUGGGUAACCCGUUAAACCUCCUUCGUGAUAGGGAUAGGGGCUUGUAAUUGUUCCCCUUGAACGAGGAAUUCCCAGUAAGCACGAGUCAUAAGCUCGUGUUGAUUACGUCCCUGCCCUUUGUACACACCGCCCGUCGCUACUACCGAUUGAAUGAUUUAGUGAGGUCUUCGGACUGGCGCUCGGAGCGACCAACGGCCGCGCCGGUGUGCCGGAAAGAUGACCAAACUUGAUCAUUUAGAGGAAGUAAAAGU